GCAAGUCAGAAUCCGGAGCGCCUCUUAGCCGUCCAUAAAAGUGGCUCGCAAAUCUCCGAAUCAAAUUAUAAAUGGGACUUUCAGGCCCAUGUGAUCUGAACAGAGGAUGGACCAGAAAAAAAUAAACUCCCUGGAAGAAGAAGUAAAAGAAGGAAAGACAAUGGGUGAUAAAAUGGAUUGAAGAAACUUUCUCCAAGAAAAUCAUCCAUCCACUUCACAAAAUAGAAGAAAAACAGCGAUAAAGGAAAGAGAGAAUUCUUACAAGUUUACUUUGGAUUAAUAAAUUACAUGGCACUUUGGAAAAAUAAUGGAUUUUAGAAAAGGACAGAGCGUGAAAACAAUCCAUAUAGUAAAACAUCUUCUCUCUCACCACAGUGUAAAAUAAUCCCCCUCCAAUGUAAAAACUGUAAAGGUCCAUUUGGCAGACCCUAAGCGGUGGACCUUUUCUGAUGUGAUGCCUAAAUACUGUGGAAUCUUUUCCACCCUAAGGUGUGGCUGGCCUCAUUGCUGUUGAAUUUUUGGAGGUCCCCCAAGACUCGGUUAAGCCAGCAUGAACCCCAGGGGAUAUGUGAACUAGUGAGGUGGCUCCACUUCAUUUAACAUCCCUUCAUCUAUUAUUCAAUGUUUUAGUUUGGUUUUUAUGCUUUAUUUAUUAUUUAUUACCGGUAAUUCUUUUAGUUCUCUUGUACGCUGCCCAGAGUCACUUGUUUAUGAGAUUGUCCCAAAAGUGCAUUUUCAAGAGACAACUGGACUUUCUGGUUUUUCUUUGAAGACUGUUUCACUUCUCAUCCAAGAAGCUUCUUCAGCUCUGACUGGACGGUGGGGAAUGGAAGGAUUUAUACUCCUUGAAGACAGCUGGUCAUUUGCAUUAUUUUAGCGCAGGGAUGUCAAACUCCCAGGGCCAAGGGCCGGAUGCGUCAGGUGCUGGCCAUGCUCAUAUCUGGUUUAGCGAAGGGGGGAAAAGUCCUGAUACAUCACGAGAUGCCGCCGUGACAAUGUGAGCUUGACAUCCCUGUUUUAGUGAGUCAUUAAGGCCACCUGGAGGUUUACCUGUGUCAUCAGGGUCACCCGAGUGGUUGUUUCUGAUAGCUAUACAAAUUGGUUUAAUAACUAAAUAAAAAGGAAGAAACAGCAACAGUUCAAGAACUGUUAGCCUUCAGAAACCCACUCAAAUAAAAAAUUUUCCAGGCUUCCCAAUUGCCAGCAACAAAAGACACAUGUGUGCACUUGGAGACAAAGUGUCCAAAUAUAUUGGGGCUAUAAUAGAGGUCUGUCUUUUGAAGGAUGGAAUGCGACCAUACUCUCUUGAGAUCAUCUGGCAGGAUGAAUCAAUAUAAGGCAGGGGUCCCCAACCCCUGGUCCAUGGCCCACUAGUGGACCAUGGCCUAUUUGUAACCAGACUGUGGAUCAUUGCACACACAUGCACGCACAGCUUGACUCCUGCGAGCAGCAGGCCAGCAUGCAUGUGCAUGCGGGUGCAGCUCUAUUAGCAGUCCAGCUGCCUGUGCUUGCGUGGGUACGCUGACCCACUGCUCACGCAAGUUAAGCUGCAUGUAUUCCUGCCCACCACUAAUGUGGCCUAGUUCCCCUCUCCCAGCUGGGCCACCAAGCUGCAAAAUUUGGUGAGGGCUGAUAUAAGGAACUGUGGUGGUGCAGUGGUUAGAAUGCAGUAUUGCAGGCUAAUUCUGCCCACAGUCUGGAGUUCGAUUUUGACUGAUUCAAGGUUGACUAAACCUUCAUUCCUUCCAAGGUCAAUAAAAUGAAGAGCCAGAUUAUUGGCUGCAAUAUGCUGACAUUGUAAACUGCUCAGAAAGUGUUGUAAUGCACUAUGGAACAUUAUAUAAUAGCAAAUGCUAUCGCUAGGUGCUAUGGGCAUAAUCAUUUUUGAGAAGGUAGCCUUAAUGUAACUCUAUUUAGAGCAGACUUGUUGAAAACCAUGGGAUUUCAAUAGACCUUAUGCUUAAUUUUAUCUAAAUUUCACCAUCAUUAUUUUACACUAUUUUCCUGAGCUAUUCUAGCCAGUUUAUUUAUUCAUUAGAUUUAUAACCUAUAUCUCUCCAAUCAAAAAGAGCAUUUAAUAAGAAAAAAGUCAAACAUAAAAUCAAAUUAAACAUCUAAAGAAAAGACAUUUCUUUAACAUCUAAUUAAAGAGCAAGAAGUUUAAAAAUGGAACUAUUCAAAAUGCUCAACUGAAUUACAUACCAAAAUAAUUCUUUUAAAAACCCACAGAGAAUAAGGUUCUGAAAUGACUUUUUCUGCAGUUUGGGAAUAGCUAAGAAUAGGCUAAUGUAGUACAAUCUUUCAAAAUAUUUUUGAAAUUCAUUAAAAAAACAGCUGAGUUUUCAGAUUUAAAACCAUAGAUAUAGAAAUCCUAUAUUUCUCCAAUAGCAUUAGUAUCAGAACUUAUAAUAUGAAUAUUAUUUUUUAUUAUUUAUUAUUAUUAUUUAUUAAAUUUUUAUACCGCCCUUCUCCCGAGGGACUCAGGGCGGUGUACAGCCAAAAGGUAAAAAAUAUAAAAAAUAUACAAUUAAAACAACAAUUUAAAACCGAGCAAAUUAGAAAAAAUGGCCAAUAUUUAAAAUUUAAAAUUUAAAAUUUCAAACCCUAAAAUGAUAAAACCCCAGUUAAAAAUUUAAAAAUAUUAGGCCAGUCCCGCUUGAAUAAAUAAAUGUGUUUUCAGCUCACGGCGAAAGGCCCGAAGAUCAGGCACUUGACGUAAUCCAGGGGGAAGUUCGUUCCAGAGCGUAGGAGCUCCCACCGAGAAGGCCCUGCCCCUGGGGGCCGCCAGCCGACAUUGUUUGGCGGACGGCACCCUGAGAAGACCCUCUCUGUGUGAGCGUACGGGUCGGUGGGAGGCAUAAGGUAGCAGCAGGUGGUCCCGUAAGUACCCGGGCCCUAAGCCAUGGAGCGCUUUGAAGGUGGUGACCAGGAUCUUAAAGCGUACCCGAAAGACUACAGGAAGCCAGUGCAAGCCGCGCAGGAUUGGUGUUACAUGGGAGCAACAAGUUGUUUAAAUGUUUGAUAUGUUUGAUAUGUUUAAAUAACUUUCUUCUGAACAUUAUCACAAGUGAAAUCAAACCUAUAUGGCAGGGGUAGGUCAGUUGUGGGUUGCUCCCGGUUUUCUCCAGUUCUUGUGAACUGGUAGUAAAAGCGGCAGAAGGCUCCACCCACCUGUCCUGACAUCAUAUUUGGUGAUAGCCCAUGCAUGUGAGCGAAGUGAGUGUGCACGCAUGCUCCCGUUGCAAACCGGUGAGCAAACUUGUAGGGUGGGUUCUACUCACCUUUACUACCAGUUCACAAUGGGAGCACGUAUGCGCACUCACUUUGCUCAUGCACAUGCACAGAUCGCCAAAUAUGACAUCAGGGCGGGUAGGUGGAGCCUCCUGCUGCUGUUACUACCGGUUCACAAGAACCAGAGAGAACCGGGACCACAAUCCACCACUGAUAUAUGGACAAUACUUGCUUGACAAAAACUGUGCAAAUAAGGAACUUGCAAAGUUGAAUUUGAUUCCAAAAAUACAGGAGGAUAACAUAGCCCUGUAAUCAGUGGUGGGAUUCAGCCAGUUCGCACCACUUCGGGAGAACCGGUUGUUAACUUUCUGAGCAGUUUGGCGAACUGCUUGUUGAAAGAAAUCAUUAGGACAGAGAACCAGUUGUUAAAUUAUUUGAAUCCUACCACUGCCUGUAAUGUAUGAAUUGAUAAUAGCAUGAUUACUUUUGUUGCAUGCCAAAUAUUUUGUAUUUCAAAAACUAUAGGUCGGCUCAUACUCAGAGCUAUUCUGUUUUGGGGGAUACUUAAGUCUAAAUGUUUCUCACUAUAGAAAUGAUUUUUUAAAAUUCAGUAUUUUGAGAUAGGCAUGCAAUAAAUGAUUCUGGGAAAUCAGCAGUGCCUAUUCUGGUGUUGUAUUACACUAUUUAAGAUAAAUAACUAUUAAGUCAUACCAUGCAGAUUUGUACCUACCCUUUGCACUAAUUAAGCAACUACAAACAUAUUUACCAUUAUUAGGUGAAUAUAAUAUACUGUAAUUACUAAAAAUAAUUAUUACGUUCUAUUGCUAAUGAUUUUACAUCAGCUGAUUAUGAGAAAAUGUAUGGCCAGAGUAUUUCUAAUACUCAUAAUGAUAAUUGUUUGUGCCCCCAGCCCCUACCCAAUAUAAACCCCCCACCCCAUCUUUUUAUUGCAUUUUUU